GGCCAUUGGAGAGGUGGCUGCCCACCUGGAGCCAGAGCAGGUAGGUCGAUACAGGCCCGCGCAGGGCCCGGAGCCCUGGGUCGUGGGCAGGUGUGCGUGCAUUCUAGGCCUUCCCGGCCCCGGGCCCGCUACCCACCUGGCCGACCAGUCCCGCCUCCUGGUGGGCACGUGACCUGUCCCUUAUUUGACAGUGUCUCUGCCUCUCCCUCGGUACACUGUCUCCAUCUCUCUCUCUCUCUCUCUCUCUCUCGUGUGUGUUACUCUUGGCCUGCUUUGUCAAUUCACCUUCUCCUGUGACUUUUUGCCUCCUAUUUUUCUAUCUCCAGCUUAGUGCCUGUGAUUCUCAUCUCUGGCCCAGCUCUUCUUCCUCGGGCAGACUCUCUCCCUCCCCUUCCUCUGCGUCUAACAAAGUGUGCAGAUCAGUAGAAGAGAUGCCGGGGCGUGGGGGAAUGGGAAGGUUUUCUGGAGUCACUGCUGUGAAUCUGAGGAGUGUUAGUGGUGGGGGUGUGGCUGCCAGCUCAGUUUGGGUGGAGAGGACUCGGCUGCUCGGGUCCCUGUUGGGACGUCUGUUUCUUGGUGACAAGAAGACAACAGUGUCUGCAUGCGAUGACAGGAAUGCAGAUGCGGAUGAAGGGCCUUGCAACCGGUCAUUCGUCUGACAAAUGUGACUUGAGUCCCUCUCACGUGCCAUGGGGCCAGGCGUCAGGGACACAGUGAUGGGUAAGACAGACCUGGCCUUCAGGGAGCUUCCAUUAUGUUAGGGCAAGACAGGUAACACCCAAGCAACCAUAUGGCCAAAUCCAAAUCGUGGCGAUGUCGCCAAGAAAACUAAACAGGAUAAAGUGACAGAGAGCAGCUGGGAUACAGUAGUGGGUGACAGGAGCUAAGAUAGGCAGGGAAGCCCACUGUGGGGAGAUGGCACAUGAGCUGCAUCCGGAACAGGAAGGAGGCAGCCAGGUGCAGGUCUGGGUGAAGAGUGACCAGGUAGAGGAAAGGUCAGGGGCAAGGGGCGAGAGGCAGAGUGAACUUCGGAGGCUAGAGGAACAGGCAGAGGGCGUGGAGAGGCUGGACUGUCAUGACAGGUGGGGACACGGGUCCAAGAUAAGCUUGGGGCCAGACCAUGUGAGGCAUUUUAUGCCAGGACAAAAGGAGUCUCAGCUCAUGAUCAUAAGUGAAAUGGGAAACUAUCAGCAGGUUUUAAGUAAGAAAUAAUUUGAUUCAUCUUCUUACAAAACAUCGUUUGGGCUACCUGAAGGGCCUGAAGAGACCCGGGUGAAGCAAGGAGACCUUUAGGGGGCUCCUCUGCAGGCCAGGUGAGCAGUGAGGGGCUCAGAUCCAGAUGGCAGGAGUAGAGGGGUGAGGGGUCAAUUGAGUUGGGAAUAGAUUCUGAAACAAAACCAAAAAGAUUCAACGACGAACUGGAAGACAGAAAGAGAGGUGUCAGGAAUCAAACCUAGAUUCGAGAAGCCGGGCAGGUGGUAGCUCCAUUUCCUAAGGUUCAGGAGGAGUGGAGUUAAUGUAGGAGAACCAGACGGAACCUUGAAGAACCAGGAGUUCUGUUUUGGACACGUCAGGCAGGUUUGACAUGCCUGUGAGACAUCAGAGUUGGCGGUGGCCACGGAGACUGAUUCCACUGAGUGGGGACUGAGGUCAUGGUGGGACCACAGAGAGGGCUGUGUUGGGGGCGGGGUGGGGGUGAUAAUCCAUACAACUGCUACUGGCAGGGCUCAGAGAUGUCUGGGAGCCUGUGCCACGGGGUUAUGGGGUUGAGGGACCUUCUCUUCCACAGGUGUCCCCGCUCUUUGGGACCAUCUAUGAUGCUGUUGUCCUGCUGGCCCAUGCCCUGAACCGCUCUGAGAGCCAUGGGGCAGGACUCUCGGGGGCCCACUUGGGAGACCAUACAGGGGCUCUGAAUGUGGCUGGCUUUAGCCAGAGGAUCCGGACGGAUGAGAAGGGCAGGAGAUUGGCUCAGUACGUCAUCUUGGACACAGAUGGUCAGGGAAGCCAGCUGGUCCCCACCCACAUUCUGGACACAGGCACGUGGCAAGUGCAGCCCCUGGACAGGGCCAUACACUUUCCAGGAGGGGCCCCUCCAGCACGUGACUCCAGCUGCUGGUUUGACCCCAAUAUGCUAUGCAUGAGAGGUAAUUCAUCAUCCCUCCAUCCAUUCAUCUCUCCAUCCAUCCAAUCACCCAAUGCGUUUUCCUCUUCCUGGAGAGCUCCCCACCUUGCCUGGUUAAAUCUUACCUGUCUUACCAAUCAGGGCUGCCCCUCCACCCCGGCCACCAUGAUCCCCACAGCCCCCGAGUGAAUUGCUUCAUGUUCAUAAGGGUGUGUGUCCCGUGCUGGGAAGAAUCAGUGCCAUCUGUUCCCCAGACUAGAAGGUAGCUCAUGAGAAGAAGCCUUCACCCAAUUGUUUCUCUGCCCCUUUUCCCACAAAUAUUGCUGGAGGACCUCCCACGUGUCAGGCACUACGCUCAGCCCCAGGGAUAUAGGAGUGAAUGAAAUGAUGUCCCUGCCCUCAUUGAGCUGAUGUACUCGAAGACCAACCCCAGGGCCUGCUUUCCAGGGGCUUCUGCCUGGUGACAGAGACAGGGACAGCUGAAAACAAUACAAGACAGUGUGUUCAGAGCCAUGAAGGGGGCAGCCAGGGGCUGAUGGAGCUCAGAGGAGAUCCUUCUCCGUCAGCCCUGGCUCACAGAUUUUACCAUCUAACAGGUUUUUAAUUAAUUCAUUCAACAAAUCAAUCAGCAAACAUUUAUUGAGCAUCCACUGUGUCCCACGCUCAGUGCUGAGAACUGGGGAUACAAUGGCAGAUAAGACUCGUGGUCACUGCCGGCACGUGGGAUGGAGCUCCCUGGGUAAAGGGGGACGGGGUAAGGGCUCUGAGAGGGGACACUAGGGGGUUGUGGGAGCCUGAGCAGCGGCCUCAGGAUGUAUCUUCUCUCGGGGAUCUAAAAGUGACAGUUCACACUCUGGCCUGUGUUGUCAUGAUUAUCACCGAUACAACUGAUCACCACCGUGGAUUGAGAGACCAGACAGCGGGGGCUUUGGGGCAAAUGUACUUAGGGCUGCAGUUCAGUGCUGCCCCUGACUAGGUGUGUGACCUUGGGCAAGUUGCAUACCCUCUCUGGGUCUCCAUUUCUCAUGUAGAAAUAGGAACAAAGACCUGACACCUUCAACUGCUUGUCCUUGCGUGAGGUGGGGGUGGGGCAGACCUCAGGAGCAGGGCUUGUACUUCCAAGGAGAUGGGAAGGGGCUACGCGGUCACGUGCUCUCAGUGAGAAGCACUCCUCAAGUGGCACCUAGGAGCGCUGGGACCGGCUGGAGUUGUCCUGUCCAGGGCUGGCUUCUCUCCUCUGUGGGCCUCAGGGUCUUGUCAGCAAGAGAAUGUGCCAUGUUCUUUGUUUCCUCUGAUUGUUUUUGUCUUGGAAUGUCAGCCUUAGAGAGCCAUUCAUUCACAUCUCCUUUCAGCCUAAGCUUUAUUCCUUGACUCCCUUUGGCAGCAAGAUCCGUCGAAAGGGUGUGGGUGCUAACUGGAUUAAAUGUCCCUUCCCCUCUUCUCUGGAGUCCUCCUCGCUGACUCUCUCCACUACUCUCUUAACACGAGCAGUCCUAUCAAGGCCCCCAGUAGCCUCCAUGUGCUGAGGCCCAGAGCCAGCUGCUAGUCUUGGCCUUGCUCAGCCAAGGGAGCCGAACUCCCAUCCUCCCUGCUGCUCCAUCCCUCUCCAGGGCCCCCUCACUCGUCACCUUCUCAGUCACCUUUUCUGUUAUAGAGUUCUAACCUAUUAACACCGCUCCUGUGGGCUUGGUGCUUUGAGCCGUUUUCUCUCAGCACUUACUCCCACAGUGUCUUAUCCAUUCUCGUGGCCCCCAGAUGGACAUUGUUGUCUCCUAAACUCCAUAUCUGCCCAACCUCCUACUUGACACGUCCAAUAAGAUGCUACUGACACCUAGAUAUCUAGUCGGCAUCUGAAACUUGAUGUUGUCUGAAGCUCAACUCCUGAUCUGUCCCCCAAUCUGCCUCCCAUGAUGUUCUCCGUUGCAGGUCAUGGAACCCCCAACCUCCCACAGGCACAGGAACGCUCUGUCUCCUCACACCCCCCAUCCAGUUGGUCAGCACACCCUGGGGGCGCCAUCUUUAGAAUUUGCCCAGAAGCAGAGCUGUUCACCAGUCACUGCCUCCAUCCUGGGCCAGGCCCUCGUCAUCUCUCACUGGGUCACUGCCUUGCCUCCCCCUCGUCCUCAUGCAACCUGGCCGGUUGGAGGAUCCUUUGGAAACAUAAUCACUCCCCCACCAGGACCUGUAGAGGCUUGGCCUCACCCGGAGCCAAGCCAGAGUCCUGGCCUCUGACUUCACAGCACCCUGUCCCGCUCAGCAUCUUGGUCUGUCUUCCUCCUGCUCUGCUCUGUCCUUCCCUGGAUCGCAGGCCGCUCCUGCUUCAGAACCUUGGCACUCGCUGCCCCCUAGGCCUGGGGCACACUGUGCUUUCUGUCGCACCCUGUGCGUUUGCACCCUUGUCUCCUCCAGAUUAAGACUCAAAGGCCCUUUCGGAGCCUGGGCGAGAGGCAGGAUGAUGCAGUGGUUAGGAGCCCAGAUGCCAGAGCGAAAGUGCCAGGGUUUGAACCCAGGCUCUGCCACUCACAGACAGUUACUUCUCUCUGUUUCCUCCUCUACAAAAUUGUGACCAUGACCAUACCUACUUCCAGGGGUCAUUGUGCAGAAUAAGGUGAAUUGAAAUACAAUAACAUCGUCAGAAUAGGUGCUUAAUGCAAUACAAUGUGCAAUAGUAUAAUAGGGAUUGCAAGGUAUUUGCUGCUAUUAUUAUGACGGACUCAGACUGGAGGGCUUCAGCAGGGGGCAGACAGCAGAGCUCAUCCUCCAGCGGAAGGAAGAAGGGAGAGGAGGCAUGGAAGGCAGAAGGGAUGGCCCCAUUUCUGUGGCAGCAGAGGUCAAUGUCCUCUCUCCAGAUUGGGGCUGGGCAUUCAGCAUCCUUGCCAGCCUAAGCUGAUGCUAGGGUUGCCCAAGCAAAGUAGGGGUGCCCUCCCAACCUUGCCAGUGAACUUUAAUAGCCUCUUUACAUCCAACUCCUGACAUGAGGCCUGGAGGUUUGGAUUUGGUGUCAGGAAGGCUCUCUUAAUGGUCAGAGUGAAGGACAAUGAAACUGGCUGUCCAAACAGAUAGCGAGGGGCCCAUCAGAGGGGAUACGCAAGAAGCAGGACAAUAAUCGACAGGGAUACAAAAUUUUUAUUCAGCACCUGCUGUGUCCAGGCUCUGUGUUAGGUGCCAGGGACAGUGAGAUGAAUAAGACACAGGCCCUGCUAUCCAGCCACUCUGUCUAUUGGGAAGGGACUUGAUAUGCCAUCAGACAAAAGACCAUAGUCUGACCAGGACGGUAAUGAGAUCUGAGCAGGGACCAUGGGGAUCCGGGGACAGGGAGCCCAAGAACCCAGGCUGAAACACUGGGACUCAAUACCUGUGUGUGAUGACCAGUCCACAGAUAGGACUUUCCUAUGUGAGUGUCAUUCUGAGCCUCAUCCCUGGGGUCGGUCUGGAUUGGGGUUUGUGUUUCCAUUUCCCAGAGGAAGGCCUAGGAGGGGGUGCAGGAGCUGGGUGAAGGGGGCUGCCCUCCUUGUGUGGUUGUUACUGUUAGGACUCACGUCCAUCCUGCUCCGCCCGCAGAUGCACAGCUCCCGGGGAGCUUCCUCGCUUUUGUCCUGGCAUGUGUCCUGUUGCUGGCUGGCGGGACCCUCACUUGCCUCAUCAGGUGAGACUCUGUCUGCACCCGAGCCUCCUUCUGCCCCUCUGUGCCCCCCACCCACAGGGCCUCUCUUGUGUGUGCACAGUCCUGGCAAUCUGCAGGAGGCUUUCCCAUCCCAGGACCUCAGGACAGUCCAGCACUCCUGUCCACCUUAGAGCCUCAGUCAGGGCCCUGCUGAGGCUGGGGGGCCUUGAGAAAAGGUCCACUUGAAAGUUGGGGAAGAAGCCUGGGACCUUACGUAAGACUGUCCAUCCCUGAACUUCAGGCUAUGAACAUGCACAGUGAUGGCUUGACCAGGACAACUCCCAGGGCCCUUCAGUUUUGAAAGCAAUUCUUCCUGGGUCUGAAAUCCUCUGUGUUCCCUGAGCCUGCCCCCGGCCCUCACCUCAGGAAGCCUCCGGGCAGUUUGGGAACUCCCAGGCUAGGGACCAGUAGGCUUAUCAGGCCUGAGCCGGGCCAAGGGCCUGGGUAGGGGGCAGUGCUCAGCAGUGACCCCUCGGUGCUGGGACUGCUGGGGAGAAGGGAGAGAAAGAGGGAGAGGGCUCUGGGUCAGCGCAGGCCCAAUAGGCCAGAUCGAGGUGGGAGUGAUACGUGUGCCCUCCCUCUGCCCUGCACUUUCUCUUGCCUCCAGAUUGGGCAUCCAACAGCUACAGCUGGUGCGGGGCCCCCACCGGAUCCUGCUGACAGCCCAGGAGCUCACCUUCAUCCAUCGGCCGCCAAGCAGACGGGUAGGGGGACAGGCACUGGGCUGGGUGGGCAAGCCGCUGACUGAGGCCUGGUCCAGGCUCUUGACCGCACCUGCCCCCUCCAGAGGCUGCACGUGGACAACGUGAGUGAAUCAAGAAGUGUGGCAGAUGGCGGGAGCCUGAGGUCAGUGGCCCAGGGGUCAGCAAGGAGCCUGCAGGCCCCCCAGGAGCCCACCAAUGUGGCCCUGUACCAGGUGAGGGCCUCUGCCACCACAGGUUUGGGCCUGAGAAGCUGCAGUGAGUUUGGGAGAAGCUGAGGGAGCCCACAGCCUCUUGGGCUUCUGUAUGCCCUACUCCUGUUACAGAAUGGGAAACCGAGGCUUGAAGAGGGCCAGUGACUUUCCUCGGUCCCACAGCAAAUCAGUGGCAUGGUAGGAGUGGAGAAGGACUCUCAAUUCCCAGCUCAGCAUGGUUUGUGAUCUGACCUUGGGACAGCAAGUUGCUGGCUACUUGGGCCUGGGCUCUCCCAGCGUGGGUCCACCCAGGGUUUCUCUCAGCACGGGGGCCAGUCUAGGUCACCCUCCUGCCUGUUUCGGCAAGGGACAGUGAGAUCCCAGGUCCCUGAGGCCCAGAGGUGAGGGAAGCACACAGCCCCAGACCGUCAGCCGAUAGGGAGGCCACAAAGUCAGAGAUUAGACCGGCAGGAUUCUAAAGUUGUUGAGGACACUGUGGCUUUUCAGGUGCUGUGUUCUCCAACUCGACAAUUCACUGAGGUUCCGAUUCUCAAAUUCUGUGACUCACAGCUGAUGAGCCAGGCUAAUUGUACAGGAAGCGACAUGAGGCUUAUGAUCCUUCUUUUCCACUUCCUCCCCAGGGGAAUCCCAUCUUUUCUUCUUUUAUGCUGAAAGGAGGCUUUAAUGCUGUACAAAGCAUGUUCUGUCUGCUUCUCUAAGUUUGCUGACAGGCUGUGGGUGAGGCUGACAAGGCAAAAAUCCAUCCGUGACAGGGGAGAGAGGGCUAAGAUUGCAGCUAGCUCUGGGCCAGGCCGGGGCGAGGACCGAGCCCCAGCCCGAGGCUUCCUUCUCUCCCGCCGUCCCCUCUCCUACAGUCUCUGGGUCACAGAGCCCCCGUCACUUCACAGGCUUUGGGGUGUUGUGGGUGCCUGAGGCCUGCAGAGUAAAGUUGACCUUGACACUGGGAGCAUGUUGACAUGCUUUAUAUGCAACAAGUGUUAGCUCUUGCAGGGCGAGUGGGGGUAUCAUCUUCCCUUUACAGAACUGGAACAAGAGGCUGAGAGAACCAAAGUCACUUGUUCAAGCUCACAGACGGAGCUAGACAGUGGCGGGGUUAGGACUGAACUCGGGUCUGUCAGCCAAAGCCCCUGGCUUUGCCCCACCAAAGUGAAAGUCUAACUUCGGUUUCUGCCGGCCAGGCCCUGCCUGGCUUGCAGCACACAGAAAAGAUACAUUUAUGGGGCCGGGGCUGAGAGGCACAGAGGGAUUAACCCAAGGUCGCACAGCAGGAGACCAGCAGCGGCAAACUUUCUCGUUCUUCCUCCAACAGGGGGAGUGGGUGUGGCUGAAGAGGUUUGAAGCAGGCACAGCCCCUGAGCUUCGGCCCAGCUGCCUCAGCCUCCUGAGAAAGGUAGGGCCAAGGAGGGGAGGGGACCCCUACUGGUAUGGAGUGGUCCCCGCUCAACGUGGAAGCUUCUAGCCUCAGAAGGACUCCUUUCUAUCAUCACAAUUGCUGCCCCAUGGCCGACACCUCAGCCACAGUUACACACUCAUCUUCACUCACGAGCAUUCCUCCAGUCACGUCACCACCUCAACGUGACCAUCACCACGACCCCCAGGGGCACAGUCCCUUCCAUCAGUAUCAGCAACACCCUCGAAGGACCUCAUCCUGUACCCACCAUCCCUCCACCCAUCCACCCAUUUAGUCACUGUGUUUUGAGCACCACCUAUGAGCCAGGCCAUGUUCUGGGUUUGGGGGUACAGCUGUGGAGAAGAGGGACAGGGUUCCUUCCCUCAAGGAGCUUCCGGUCACUUGUCAUCACUAACCACAUAAGCCCCUUCACCCCCGAGGUUGUCAGUAUCCUGAGAAGCACUGUGGCUGGAGCACGGAGCACAGGAUUGGAAUCAGGAAGGUCCCAGGUAGAAUUCUGCCUCCAUGAAACGCUUAGCUUUCCUGUAAAAUGGAGCUAAUGAAAUCUAUCCUCUGGGGAAUUAGGAAGAUUGGGGAGAACAUAUGAAAUAACCUAGAAUUGUCUCUGGCCAGAAGUGUGCCUUUGAUAAAUGCUAGCAUCACUGCUUGGGUUCAAGCUCUCUGACCUGCUGGGCAGCCAUGACAGAGGCUAUUUUCUGGUUAAGCCUGGUCCCUUCUGCUCUUCUUCCUCUCCUUAUCAGUCUCUGAGUCUUAGGGGAGAAACUUCACAGUUUUCAGGUCCAUGGUUCCACUUAGGUUGGGAAACAGGCCUAGAUCCCUACACUGUGGAGUUCGCUACAGCUUAUUCAUUUAUUCUCCCAUGACACUUCCAUUCACUUGUUCACCCACUCAUCCAUCCAUUCAUCCAUCCAUCAUCCAUCCAUCCACCCAACAUUUCUGGUGCCUCUCUGUGCUCUUCCCUGUACUGGGUGCUAAAUACUGGAGACCCAGAUGUGGAUUGUACCUGGUUCAGCCUUCGAUGUGCCCCUGGGGGCUGCUAAGAUGCCUAUUGCCCCAACAGAUGCGGGAGAUGCGGCAUGAGAACGUUGCUGCCUGCCUGGGCUUCUUUGUGGCCCCUGGGGUCAGUGCUCUAGUGCUGGAGCACUGUUCCCGGGGCAGCCUGGAGGAUCUGCUGCGGAAUGAAGCUCUGCGGCUGGACUGGACUUUCAAGGCCUCUCUGCUGCUGGAUUUGAUCCGUGUGAGAACCCUCCCUGGGCCUAGAGCUAUGGGGGCCAUGGGGAGGGCAGGGAGAAAAGAGACGCUCAGAUUUCCAAGACCUGGUCUCCUACUUUGUCUAAGAAAAAUCUGAACAGUAUGGGAGAAGGUGAGAGGAGGCAGGAAGUGUUUCUGGGGUCUGUGAGAUGCUGAGAGGACUAGGGGCCCCUUUGAUUCAUCACAUAAUGGGCUACCAUUACGUCCUUUCCAGGGCAUGCGGUAUCUGCACCAUCGACAUUUCCCUCACGGACGCCUCAAGUCCCGAAACUGUGUGGUGGAUGGGCGCUUUGUUCUCAAGGUCACUGACCAUGGUUAUGCAGAGCUCCUGGACGUUCAGCGGGCUCCCCGCCCCCGGCCAGCCCCAGAAGGUCAGCUCAGGGAUGGGCAGGCGCUGCCAGUGGGUUUUGAGGCCUCUAUUUAAAUUGGAUGCUUGUGAGGCAGGGGGACAGGGGAGAUGUCCAAUCUUUUAGCACUUCCUGUGGUAUGACCUUGAGCUGCCUCAGGCCCCCUACCUAUGAA
rnacentral:lncRNA from 1 species